UAAUGAGAGUUUGAUCCUGGCUCAGGACGAACGCUGGCGGCGUGCCUAAUACAUGCAAGUAGAACGCUGAAGGAGGAGCUUGCUCUUCUGGAUGAGUUGCGAACGGGUGAGUAACGCGUAGGUAACCUGCCUGGUAGCGGGGGAUAACUAUUGGAAACGAUAGCUAAUACCGCAUAAUAGUAGAUGUUGCAUGACAUUUACUUAAAAGGUGCAAUUGCAUCACUACCAGAUGGACCUGCGUUGUAUUAGCUAGUUGGUGGGGUAACGGCUCACCAAGGCGACGAUACAUAGCCGACCUGAGAGGGUGAUCGGCCACACUGGGACUGAGACACGGCCCAGACUCCUACGGGAGG
rnacentral:rRNA from 1 species